GAUCAACGCUGGCGGCGUGCCUCAGACAUGCAAGUCGAACGCGAAAGGCUCCUUCGGGGCCGAGUAGAGUGGCGCACGGGUGAGUAACACGUAGGUAAUUUGCCUUUGGGUGGGGAAUAACUCAGGGAAACUUGAGCUAAUACCGCAUAAUGCAGCGGCUCGACAUCGAGACAGUUGUUAAAGCGGGGGAUCGCAAGACCUCGCGCCUGAAGAGAAGCCUGCGGCAGAUUAGCUAGUUGGUAGGGUAAUGGCCUACCAAGGCGACGAUCUGUAACCGGCCUGAGAGGGCGGUCGGUCACACUGACACUGACAUACGGGUCAGACUCCUACGGGAGGCAGCAGUCGGGAAUUUUGGGCAAUGGGCGCAAGCCUGACCCAGCAACGCCGCGUGAAGGAUGAAAUCCCUCGGGAUGUAAACUUCGCAAGAAUGGGAAGAAUAAGUAGGGGACAAUA
rnacentral:rRNA from 1 species